CGUAAAAAAAUAAGUGCUAAAUCUAAUCGCACUGAGUUUGCACUCGCUGCCUAAGCUUCGCGCUAGGGUUUAACCAGCUGAGUGUUCAACUCCGUUCACUCUCUCAUGUCUUUGGGGAGAUGCUGAGCGUCAUGUAAAGACUUGCUUUAUGUGCUGAGUUUCAGGGCAUAUAAAGGACUUUUACUGUAACUAUUCCUGCAAACCGUGGUUUGCGACGAUGUUUGAGGAAGACAAAUUGCCAUAUGGUCAGCAAACUACGCACGUAGAAGGCUAGAGGUACGGUCAUCGGACCCGGGUUCAAUUCCCGGCGGCUCCACGA
rnacentral:tmRNA from 1 species